AUGUGAACCACUGUGACGGCCGGUGUAUAACUGUAGUACAACUUGGCGUACAUCUGUAGUAGAAUUUUCAUGGUCGCUGACAUACAACUGUAGUACAACGUAGCGUAUAGCCGUAGUAGAACUUCACCACCACCGGUGUUUAGUCGUAGUAGAACAUAUAGGUGUAGUAGAACGUCUUGUGGUGAUAACAGGUGCAGGUGGCGCGACUUGCUACUGCAGAAGCAGUCAGCAGAAGGAGGGCUGACUCGGCAACGGAAGGCUUGCGCGUGCGGAUUCAGAUUUGCUUGCGCUGGAUACUAAACGAAAGGAUUCUGCCUGUGACCGCGGUGGUCCAGCGACGCAAGGUGAGUGGCAUGGCGAAGGGAGUCAGAGGAGCCAAUCAAACACCUGCCAGUUUAGAUCAAUAAUUUUUUGUCAGUUCAAAAUUAAGAGUAGAUAAGGAGCAAGACUAGCAUAUUUCCCCUUUUUGUUUAUUUGUAGAAGAUGUACAUUGGUAUUGCUGUUUGAAAACGAACUCUGCUGAUGUUUGAAGACUAACACAUCUAGUUGAGUAUUCUACAAACUUGUCCAUCCGCUUCAAUAAUUCAUAGCAUUUGACCAUACAAAUUCAGAGUGCAUUCAAUAGUAGGAACAACAUGACACCAUCAACUGUCGACUAAAUCUAACAGCCUACCAUCAAAUUAUAAACAAGUGAGGUCGCGAUGUAAAACAUUGUUGAUCUAGAAUUAUUUUUUCACCUGCUAGUACCUUUUGCCUGCAGCUUCUUGUUGCUGCUUGCUUGCCCGCCAAAACCAACACCCACGUGCCAAGAAAUGUUGCUGCCGCCGGCCAAAUUGUCAGCUGCAUAGGUAUGUUCGCUUGACAGUGCACUGGUUUCACUCGACAGAUUGUCACUGGCUUUCCUUUAAGAUGACGCGGUCUACA
rnacentral:lncRNA from 1 species